rnacentral:rRNA from 1 species
GGUUAAGCGACUAAGCGUACACGGUGGAUGCCCUGGCAGUCAGAGGCGAUGAAGGACGUGCUAAUCUGCGAAAAGCGACGGCGAGGUGAUAUGAACCUUUGACCCGUCGAUGUCCGAAUGGGGAAACCCAGUGUGUUCCGACACACUAUCGUUAACUGAAUACAUAGGUUAACGAGGCGAACCGGGGGAACUGAAACAUCUAAGUACCCCGAGGAAAAGAAAUCAACCGAGAUUCCCCCAGUAGCGGCGAGCGAACGGGGAGCAGCCCGGAGUCUGAAUCAGCUUGUGUGUUAGUGGAACGGUCUGGAAAGUCCGACGGUACAGGGUGAUAGUCCCGUACACGAAAAUGCACAUGCUGUGAACUCGAAGAGUAGGGCGGGACACGUGGUAUCCUGUCUGAAUAUGGGGGGACCAUCCUCCAAGGCUAAAUACUCCUGACUGACCGAUAGUGAACCAGUACCGUGAGGGAAAGGCGAAAAGAACCCCGGCGAGGGGAGUGAAAAAGAACCUGAAACCGUGUACGUACAAGCAGUGGGAGCCUCUUUAUGGGGUGACUGCGUACCUUUUGUAUAAUGGGUCAGCGACUUAUAUUCUGUAGCAAGGUUAACCGUAUAGGGGAGCCGAAGGGAAACCGAGUCUUAACUGGGCGUUAAGUUGCAGGGUAUAGACCCGAAACCCGGUGAUCUAGCCAUGGGCAGGUUGAAGGUUGGGUAACACUAACUGGAGGACCGAACCGACUAAUGUUGAAAAAUUAGCGGAUGACCUGUGGCUGGGGGUGAAAGGCCAAUCAAACCGGGAGAUAGCUGGUUCUCCCCGAAAGCUAUUUAGGUAGCGCCUCGUGAACUCAUCUUCGGGGGUAGAGCACUGUUUCGGCUAGGGGGCCAUCCCGGCUUACCAACCCGAUGCAAACUACGAAUACCGAAGAAUGUUAUCACGGGAGACACACGGCGGGUGCUAACGUCCGUCGUGAAGAGGGAAACAACCCAGACCGCCAGCUAAGGUCCCAAAGUCAUGGUUAAGUGGGAAACGAUGUGGGAAGGCACAGACAGCCAGGAUGUUGGCUUAGAAGCAGCCAUCAUUUAAAGAAAGCGUAAUAGCUCACUGGUCGAGUCGGCCUGCGCGGAAGAUGUAACGGGGCUAAACCAUGCACCGAAGCUGCGGCAGCGACACUAUGUGUUGUUGGGUAGGGGAGCGUUCUGUAAGCCGUUGAAGGUGUGCUGUGAGGCAUGCUGGAGGUAUCAGAAGUGCGAAUGCUGACAUAAGUAACGAUAAAGCGGGUGAAAAGCCCGCUCGCCGGAAGACCAAGGGUUCCUGUCCAACGUUAAUCGGGGCAGGGUGAGUCGACCCCUAAGGCGAGGCCGAAAGGCGUAGUCGAUGGGAAACAGGUUAAUAUUCCUGUACUUGGUGUUACUGCGAAGGGGGGACGGAGAAGGCUAUGUCAGCCGGGCGACGGUUGUCCCGGUUUAAGCAUGUAGGCGGAGGUUCCAGGUAAAUCCGGUACCUUUUAACGCUGAGGUGUGAUGACGAGGCACUACGGUGCUGAAGUGAUAAAUGCCCUGCUUCCAGGAAAAGCCUCUAAGCAUCAGGUAACACGAAAUCGUACCCCAAACCGACACAGGUGGUCAGGUAGAGAAUACCAAGGCGCUUGAGAGAACUCGGGUGAAGGAACUAGGCAAAAUGGUGCCGUAACUUCGGGAGAAGGCACGCUGAUAUGUAGGUGAAGCCCCUGCGGGCGGAGCUGAAAUCAGUCGAAGAUACCAGCUGGCUGCAACUGUUUAUUAAAAACACAGCACUGUGCAAACACGAAAGUGGACGUAUACGGUGUGACGCCUGCCCGGUGCCGGAAGGUUAAUUGAUGGGGUUAGCGGCAACGCGAAGCUCUUGAUCGAAGCCCCGGUAAACGGCGGCCGUAACUAUAACGGUCCUAAGGUAGCGAAAUUCCUUGUCGGGUAAGUUCCGACCUGCACGAAUGGCGUAAUGAUGGCCAGGCUGUCUCCACCCGAGACUCAGUGAAAUUGAACUCGCUGUGAAGAUGCAGUGUACCCGCGGCAAGACGGAAAGACCCCGUGAACCUUUACUAUAGCUUGACACUGAACACUGGUCCUUGAUGUGUAGGAUAGGUGGGAGGCUUUGAAGCGUGGACGCCAGUCUGCGUGGAGCCGCCCUUGAAAUACCACCCUUUAAUGGCUGGUGUUCUAACGUAGACCCGUGAUCCGGGUUGCGGACAGUGUCUGGUGGGUAGUUUGACUGGGGCGGUCUCCUCCCAAAGAGUAACGGAGGAGCACGAAGGUUGGCUAAUCCUGGUCGGACAUCAGGAGGUUAGUGCAAUGGCAUAAGCCAGCUUGACUGCGAGCGUGACGGCGCGAGCAGGUGCGAAAGCAGGUCAUAGUGAUCCGGUGGUUCUGAAUGGAAGGGCCAUCGCUCAACGGAUAAAAGGUACUCCGGGGAUAACAGGCUGAUACCGCCCAAGAGUUCAUAUCGACGGCGGUGUUUGGCACCUCGAUGUCGGCUCAUCACAUCCUGGGGCUGAAGUAGGUCCCAAGGGUAUGGCUGUUCGCCAUUUAAAGUGGUACGCGAGCUGGGUUUAGAACGUCGUGAGACAGUUCGGUCCCUAUCUGCCGUGGGCGCUGGAGAAUUGAGGGGGGCUGCUCCUAGUACGAGAGGACCGGAGUGGACGCAUCACUGGUGUUCGGGUUGUCAUGCCAAUGGCACUGCCCGGUAGCUAAAUGCGGAAGAGAUAAGUGCUGAAAGCAUCUAAGCACGAAACUUGCCCCGAGAUGAGUUCUCCCUGAGACUUUAAGUCUCCUGAAGGAACGUUGAAGACGACGACGUUGAUAGGUCGGGUGUGUAAGCGCAGCGAUGCGUUGAGCUAACCGAUACUAAUGAACCGUGAGGCUUAACCUU